AGGGUUUGAUCAUGGCUCAGAUUGAACGCUGGCGGUAGGCCUAACACAUGCAAGUCGAGCGAGAACGCGCCUUCGGGUGUUAUUAGAGCGGCGGACGGGUGAGUAACGCGUGGGAAUCUACCCAGUAGCGGGGGAUAACUUGUGGAAACGCAAGCUAAUACCGCAUACGCCCUAAGGGGGAAAGUAGGGGAUCUUCGGACCUUACACUAUUGGAUGAGCCCGCGUCGGAUUAGCUAGUUGGUGAGGUAAAGGCUCACCAAGGCAACGAUCCGUAGCUGGUCUGAGAGGAUGAUCAGCCACACUGGGACUGAGACACGGCCCAGACUCCUACGGGAGGCAGCAGUGGGGAAUAUUGGACAAUGGGCGCAAGCCUGAUCCAGCCAUACCGCGUGUGUGAAGAAGGCUCUAGGGUUGUAAAGCACUUUAAGCAGGGAGGAAGGCCAGUUAGUUAAUAUCUGACUGGAUUGACGUUACCUGCAGAAUAAGCACCGGCUAACUCCGUGCCAGCAGCCGCGGUAAUACGGAGGUGCAAGCGUUAAUCGGAAUACUGGGCGUAAAGCGCGUAGGCGGUUUGCUAAGCCAGAUGUGAAAGCCCCGGGCUCAACCUGGGAACUGCAUUUGGAACUGGUAGGCUAGAGUACGGUAGAGGGUGGUAGAAUUUCCUGUGUAGCGGUGAAAUGCGUAGAUAUAGGAAGGAAUACCAGUGGCGAAGGCGGCCACCUGGACUGAUACUGACGCUGAGGUGCGAAAGCGUGGGGAGCGAACAGGAUUAGAUACCCUGGUAGUCCACGCCGUAAACGAUGUCAACUAGCCGUAGGGAUCCUUGAGGUCUUUGUGGCGCAGCUAACGCAAUAAGUUGACCGCCUGGGGAGUACGGCCGCAAGGUUAAAACUCAAAUGAAUUGACGGGGGCCCGCACAAGCGGUGGAGCAUGUGGUUUAAUUCGAAGCAACGCGAAGAACCUUACCUACUCUUGACAUCCACAGAACUUUUGAGAGAUCAAUUGGUGCCUUCGGGAACUGUGAGACAGGUGCUGCAUGGCUGUCGUCAGCUCGUGUUGUGAAAUGUUGGGUUAAGUCCCGUAACGAGCGCAACCCUUGUCCUUAGUUACCAUCAUUUAGUUGGGUACUUUAAGGAGACUGCCGGUGACAAACCGGAGGAAGGCGGGGACGACGUCAAGUCAUCAUGGCCCUUACGAGUAGGGCUACACACGUGCUACAAUGGCCAGUACAAACGGUUGCAAUCCUGCGAGGGGGAGCUAAUCUGAGAAAGCUGGUCGUAGUCCGGAUCGGAGUCUGCAACUCGACUCCGUGAAGUCGGAAUCGCUAGUAAUCGUGAAUCAGAAUGUCACGGUGAAUACGUUCCCGGGCCUUGUACACACCGCCCGUCACACCAUGGGAGUGGGUUGCUCCAGAAGUAAAUAGCUUAACCUCGGAGGGCGUUUACCACGGAGUGAUUCAUGACUGGGGUGAAGUCGUAACAAGGUAGCCGUA
rnacentral:rRNA from 1 species